UUGAACUGCAUGUGUCAUAGUAAGAACAUGGAAACUUGUUUACAAUUGGGAUUCCAGUAUCUGAAGAUUUCUUUGACGCAUGGUAAAUCGGUAGCAGGAAGACACUGCAGGGAGUCUAGAGGAAAUGAAGAAGUCUGGUACUGUGGUCCACACUUGGCAACAGGGCCCAAGGACAAAGUCUGGAGUACAAUGUGAGGAUGUAUUCACAAAUGACUGAGGCAGAGACUGCCAAACUCUGCCCCAAUACUCAUUCUGUUUUCUUUUUAGUGAUAAAAAACGUCUCCAGGGUUUCAGAUGUUCACAUGGCCACCUAGCCAAAGAUUACAUUUUCCCAGCCUUCCUUGAAGCUAGGUAUGGUUCUGUGACUAAGUCCAGGUCAAUAGGAUGGAAGUGGAAGUGAUGUAUGGAAACUUCCAGGUUAUCCCUUUAAAGAAAAAGCUGCUUACAUUGACUUCCUUUUUCCCUUCCUGCAGGCUGAAAUGCAGAGAUGGAUGAGGAAACCUUGAUUACUGGAUGAUCCUGUGGAACACAGCUUCCCCCCAAGACUAGCAGCUCACCUAGUUUAAUUAUGUUGCAUGAGAAUGAAACAAACUUCUGCUAUGCAUGGUGAAGUUACCCCCAGGCAUUUAUAAUGCAGACCUGCCACUCACCUGCAGUCUUACUCUGAGGAGAGUGAUCCUCGCCACAUAAAUCUUCCCCAGAGGCCGAGAGGGUCUAUAUUUCAGAGUCACUUCCCUUCUGUGUCAGCUCAGGGGGACCAAGACAAUUCAAUGGAGAAGAAUAGUCUUUUCAAAAAAUGGUGCUUGGACAACUGGUAACAACAACAAAAGAAUGAUGUUGGACCCCUAACCCACAUCAUAUACAAAAAUGAACUCAAAAGGCUUUAUAGAUCUAAAUGUAGAAGACGAAACUAAAACACUCUUAAAAGAAGACAGAAGUAAAUCUUUGUGACAUUGGAUUAGGCAAUGGUCUUGUGCAAAUGACAAAAGUUCAAGUGAUAAAAGAAAAAAAUAGAUAAAUCAAAGUUAAGCAGAUUUUUAAAUAGAUUCAUUAAAAUAAAAGUUAUGUGUUUCAAAGGACACUAUCACAAAAGUGAAAUUGAAAAUAUAUCUUUGGAUACAAUGUUGGUUGUAUCCAGAAUGUGUAAAGAACUCUUUCAACUCAACAAUAAAAAGAUAAAUAACCUACUUUAAAAAUAGGCCAAGUAUUUGAAUAAACAUUUCUCUAAAAAAUAUAAACAAUAGCCAAUAAUUAUAUGAAAAUAUGUUCAACACCAUUAUCAUUAGGGAAAUGUAAAUAAAAACACAAUGAGAUAUCACUUCACACUUAUUAGGAUGGAUAUGAAACACACACACACACACACACAGAAAAUAGCAAGUGUUGUCAAAGAUAUAGGGAAAUUGGGAGCCCCAUACAUUGUUGGUAGGAAUGUAAAAUGGUGCAGCCACUAUGAGAAACAGUUUGGCAAUUCCUCAAAAAGCAAAACAUAGUUACUAUAUGACCCAGAAAUUCCACUCCUAUGCAUAUACCCAAAGGCAUGGAAAACAAGGACUCUAACAGAUAUUCAUAUGUCAGUGGUCAUUGCAGUAUUGUUCACAAUAGCCAAAAG